ensembl:lncRNA
CCAGAAAUGGCGUCUGAAGCGCGCUAAGAAGUAAGGAUGGAUCAGACGAGGCACUUGCAUUUAAUGACAGUGGUAUGAGAUCAUUAUUCUGAAAUCAAUCCUCUAAUUGCCGUCCUCAGGUGCUUCUGGCUCUCAGCGCGGCCGCUCCGGAUCCAGGUGUGAACGCUGUGUCUGGUUUGGCAGAUUCCCCCUCAGUCGCCCUGUUUGGAUCAGAACUCAGAGAGGAAAGAUGCAUCAAACGCACCGUGAAAUCCACAGGUACAACGCACCGAGACAGACGUCUGGUCAUAUGCUGCUUUGUUUUCAGGUUUAUAAUGUGCAAAAACAAAAGUACAAACAAAAGCUGCCCUUACAAAACCU